AAUAAAUAAAUAAAUCUUUUAAAAAAAUUGGAAUGAUACAGAGAAGAUUAGCAUGGCCCCUGUGCAAGGAUGACACGCAAAUUCGUGAAGCAUUCCAUAUUUUU